GACGAACGCUGGCGGCGCGCUUAACACAUGCAAGUCGAACGGAAAGGCCUGCUUUCCCUUGUGGAUUGCGGGUACUCGAGUGGCGAACGGGUGAGUAACACGUGAGUGAUCUGCCCCCAACUUGGGUAUAAGCCUGGGAAACUGGGUCUAAUUCCCGAUAGGACUGCAGGGUGGUGCCUGUGGUGGAAAACGAUUUUCUAGUGGUUGGGGAUGAGCUCGCGGCCUAUCAGCUUGUUGGUGGGGUAAUGGCCUACCAAGGCGGCGACGGGUAGCCGGCCUGAGAGGGUGGACGGCCACAUUGGGACUGAGAUACGGCCCAGACUCCUACGGGAGGCAGCAGUGGGGAAUAUUGCACAAUGGGCGGUAGCCUGAUGCAGCGGCGCCGCGUGGGGGAUGACGGCCUUCGGGUUGUAAUCUCCUUUCGUCCGCGAGGUAGCCACCUGGUUGGAAGGGUGGUGACGGUAGUGGUAGAAGAAGCACCGGCUAACUACGUGC
rnacentral:rRNA from 1 species